CCAGCACCCGCGGUAAUUCCAGCUCCAAUAGCGUAUAUUUAAGUUGCUGCAGUUAAAAAGCUCGUAGUUGGAUUUCGGGUGGGGCCUGCCGGUCCGCCGUUUCGGUGCGCACUGGCCGGGCCCACCUUGGUGCCGGGGACGGGCUCCCGGGCUUCACUGUCCGGGACCCGGAGUCGGCGAGGUUACUUUGAGUAAAUUAGAGUGUUCAAAGCAGGCCUACGCUCUGAAUACAUUAGCAUGGAAUAACACGAUGGGACUCUGGCCUAUCCUGUUGGUCUGUAGGACCGGAGUAAUGAUUAAGAGGGACAGUCGGGGGCAUUCGUAUUUCAUUGUCAGAGGUGAAAUUCUUG
rnacentral:rRNA from 1 species